rnacentral:piRNA from 1 species
CGCUGGCCGGUUAGCUCAGUUGG